rnacentral:rRNA from 1 species
AGAGUUUGAUCAUGGCUCAGAGUGAACGUUGGCGGCGUGGAUUAGGCAUGCAAGUCGUGCGACGAGGCCCGCAAGGGUGCUCGAGCGGCGAAAGGGAGAGUAAUGCACGGGUAACCUGCCCCUAGGACUGGGAUAGCCGUGGGAAACUGCGGGUAAUACCAGAUGAUGUCUGAUAGCUUCGGCUAUCGGACCAAAGGUGCGAGUCCGCCUAGGGAGGGGCCCGUGUCCUAUCAGCUAGUUGGUGGGGUAACGGCUCACCAAGGCUACGACGGGUACGGGGUGUGAGAGCAUGUCCCCGCUCACUGGGACUGAGACACUGCCCAGACACCUACGGGUGGCUGCAGUCGAGAAUCUUCGGCAAUGGGCGCAAGCCUGACCGAGCGACGCCGCGUGCGGGACGAAGGCCGUUGUGUUGUAAACCGCUGUCAGGGGGGAGGAAAUGUCGGCCCUCAGGGUCGGCUUGACCUAUCCCCAGAGGAAGGACGGGCUAAGUCCGUGCCAGCAGCCGCGGUAAGACGGACCGUCCGAACGUUACUCGGAAUUACUGGGCUUAAAGGGUGCGUAGGCGGCUUUGCAAGUCGGGUGUGAAAGCCCUCGGCUCAACCGAGGAACUGCACUCGAUACUGCGAGGCUCGAGGAAGAUAGAGGUGAGCGGAACUUGCGGUGGAGCGGUGAAAUGCGUUGAUAUCGCAAGGAACACCGGAGGCGAAAGCGGCUCACUGGGUCUUUCCUGACGCUGAGGCACGAAAGCUAGGGGAGCGAACGGGAUUAGAUACCCCGGUAGUCCUAGCCCUAAACGAUGAGCACUAGACCGAGGAACUCUCCAUGGUUUCUUGGUCGUAGGGAAACCGUUAAGUGCUCCGCCUGGGGAGUAUGGUCGCAAGGCUGAAACUCAAAUGAAUUGACGG